ACUCAAAGGAAUUGACGGGGGCCCGCACAAGCAGCGGAGCGUGUGGUUUAAUUCGAGGCUACACGAAGAACCUUACCUGGGUUUGACAUAGCGGUGGUAGGGAACCGAAAGGGGACCGACCUUCGGGAGCCGUUACAGGUGCUGCAUGGCUGUCGUCAGCUCGUGCCGUGAGGUGUUCGGUUAAGUCCGGUAACGAGCGCAACCCUCGUCGCUAGUUACACGUUGUCUAGCGAGACUGCCCGUGAUAAGCGGGAGGAAGGUGGGGAUGACGUCAAGUCAGCAUGGCCUUGAUGCCCAGGGCUACACACACGCUACAAUGGCCGGUACAAUGGGUCGCCAACCCGCAAGGGGGAGCCAAUCCAGCAAAGCCGGUCUCAGUUCGGAUUGCAGGCUGCAACCCGCCUGCAUGAAGUCGGAGUUGCUAGUAACCGCGCGUCAGCCAUAGUGCGGUGAAUACGUUCCCGGGCCUUGUACACACCGCCCGU
rnacentral:rRNA from 1 species